GACGAACCGAGCGAACGUUGUUCGGAAUCACUGGGCUUAAAGGGCGCGUAGGCGGGUGCUCAAGUCCGGGGUGAAAUCCUCCAGCUCAACUGGAGAACUGCCUCGGAUACUGGGUGCCUCGAGUGUGGUAGGGGUGUGCGGAACUAUCGGUGGAGCGGUGAAAUGCGUUGAUAUCGAUAGGAACUCCGGUGGCGAAGGCUGCACACUGGACCACAACUGACGCUGAGUCGCGAAAGCCAGGGGAGCAAACGGG
rnacentral:rRNA from 1 species